UACGUAGGGUGCAAGCGUUAAUCGGAAUACUGGGGCGUAAAGCGUGCGCAGGCGGUUAUGUAAGACAGGUGUGAAAUCCCCGGGCUCAACCCGGAAAUGGCAUUGGAAACUGCGUGGCUAGAGGGUUGGAGGGGGGACUGGAAUACUGGUGUAGCAGUGAAAUGCGUAGAUAUCAAGUGGAACACCAGUGGCGAAGGCGAGUCCCUGGACAACACCUGACACUGAGGCACGAAAGCUAGGGGAGCAAACAGG
rnacentral:rRNA from 1 species